AACGCGCGCUGAGGUAAAAGGGGGGGGGAACCCCACAAUUCACACCCCCCCCCAUCUCUCUCCACCCUGGUGGGCGUGGUUUGUAUCGCGAUGGGCGUGGUUUGUAUCGCGGUUGGGCUUGGUUUUGGUGGGUGGGGCGUCGUCUCGGCGCGGUGCUUUGCUAUGGGGGGGGGCGUGGUUUCGUUUCUUAUGGGUGUGGCUUUGUCUCUUCGGGGCGUGGUUUGGGCUUAUGUGGGGGCGGGGCGGGGUUGGUCAGCGCGCGCGUCUCGGCCCCCAACCUCUCCGUUCUUGUCGCUUGUGAGCAAAAAAUUUUUUUAAAAAAAGUUAAACAUUUUUACGAUUAAUUUCGUUAUCUUGUCGAGUUAAAAGUGCGCGCAGGCUGCUUGUCGAUGAGCGAUUUUAACCCUUUUUCGUUGUGUUUUUUUACCUACGCGCUCGUACGUUUUCUUUGGUAGUGUCAUCGUAACUGCAAGGACGUGCUAUUUUUUAUGUUUUAACUUGGUCUGACUUAAGACAAAUUUUAGUGCGAAGGACGUCGCUUUUUUUGGGUCAGUUGUGGAUAUUUAUAUCGUCUCUUUUAAGUUUUUCUCAGUUGUGUUUGACGCACAUUUGUUCUGUAAUCUAGUAAAAGUUAAGUCUUCAAUAUAAUGACUUUGCUGGCACUAGAUCCCCGAGGUUUUGAGAAAGAUUUGUGUAGUUUGAAGAGGUUUAAAGUAUAUUUUUUUCCCGUCUUUACUUAACAAAUGUAUUUUCAUUAAACGCAUAAAGUGCGCACAGUCGUAUUUUUGAAGUGUAAAGAAAUUUAAAUAUAGCAACGUUCAGGGGCAUUGCGGUUAAUGUAAAUCAAUCAUUCCCCCCCUCAUGAGGUAAACCAGUAAACUUUUUUUACUUUUAAAAAAUAUAUAUUUUGUAAGUAUAUAACGUGCAUGCUAUUUAUUUUUAAAGUGUAAAGAAAUUUAUUUGUAGCAACAUUCGGGGGCAUUGCGGUUAAUGUAAAUCAGUAAGUCCCCCCUCAUGAGGUAAACCAGCAAACUUUUUAGACUUUUUUUUAAAUAUCGUACAUAUUUAACGUGCAUGCUAUUUGUAAAUCUACUAUCCGUCUUACUCAAACUGUUAACAGUGUAACGUAACAGUAUUUUAAACGUGUAAUUUGAAUACAUUUUAUUUUGCCGACUUGGGCUGUGUGGGGUGGGAUUCCUUUAGAGUCGUUAAUGUUUAAAUGUAAAUUAGAAUGCGUUUCAAAAUAUAAAGUAUUAACAUUUUUGUACUUUAAAAAAAUCAAGUAACCAUUUUGUUUAACCUAACGAUGACGUUAAACAUUAACCGUUCACUUUCGUAACGUUAAAAUUGGUGUCUGUGGAUGAUAUAUAGUGUCUAACUUUUGAGAAUAAAAGUCAAUUUAUGUAUAAACUGCAUAACUAUUCUCUUGGAAGCGUCUCCAAAUCGCGUUGUGUAAUCUUAAAUGAAGUGUAAAUACAUAUUAAGUAAAGUACUGUAUAGUAACAUGUCGGCUAUUUGACAUGGUAAUACAUAACUAGUAUGGCGACACUUUAUCAAUGUAAUGCUAAUGUUUGUGAUAAUACUUAAUUAUAAGUGUAACAGACUUAAGUCUUAUACUGUACACUCGUUAAUAUUUUAUAUGUUGACAUGUAUACUGCAUUUAACCGUGUGUGUAUGUACUGCAUCGAUAGUAAGGCGUGCAUUAGAGAAUACAGGGUAGAUGCAUCACAUUGAUCUUCAUCCAGCAGUGGAUAGUCCAUGAUGCUAAUGAAACAUGAGAGAUGCAUACAGGAACACACUUGGGUGUAUAGGGUACAGGAACAUACUUGGGUGUAUAGAGUACAGGAACAUACUUGGGUGUAUAGGGUACAGGAACAUACUUGCGCGUAUAGGGUACACCAACAUACUUGUGUGUAUAGGAUACAGGAACACACUUGGGUGUAUCGGGUAGGGGAACAUACUUGGGUGUAUAGGAUACAGGAACAUACUUGGGUGUAUAGGGUACAGGAACACACUUGGGUGUAUCGGGUACAGGAACAUACUUGGGUGUAUAGGAUACAGGGACAUACUUGGGUAUAUAGGAUACAGGAACAUACUUGGGUAUAUAGGAUACAGGAACAUACUUGGGUGUAUAGGGUACAGGAACACACUUGGGUGUAUAGGAUACAGGGACACACUUGGGUGUAUAGGGUACAGGGACAUACUUGGGUGUAUAGGAUACAGGGACAUACUUGGGUAUAUAGGAUACAGGAACAUACUUGGGUGUAUCGGGUACAGGAACAUACUUGGGUGUAUAGGAUACUGGAACAUACUUGGGUGUAUAGGGUACAGGGAGAUAAUUGGGUGUAUUGGGUACAGGGAGAUAAUUGGGUGUAUAGGAUACAGGAACAUACUUGGGUGUAUAUGAUCAGAUGGCAUAAGCAAGUUAAUGACAAUCAUCGACAUUUAAAAAAAAAUCUAAUUCAGUGGGCAUGGUUGGAAUCAGAAUCUUUAUUUAAUACUGCUGGAGGAAUCCGAUGAGCUAUAAAGCUCUUUGUCACAUGUCCCAGUCAGGGGCCACGGUGGUCAGAAAGUUACAAAAACAAACACAA